CGUUGUCGAUCUGGCUAUGGCCGAUAGAGGCGGCCUCGCGGCGAGGCACCAGGAACACGAACAGACGAAGGAGAGAUCAGAUGCGAAUUGGAAAAGGGAAAGACGAUGAGGCGUACGGGCGUGCGGUUGCAUAGGUAACAAAUCACGGUGAUUAAUUACGGCAAGGAGUCAAGGACCUCUCGUGGGCUGUUCACUUUUGGCCCUUUUACUUAGUCGCUAACGUGACAACCUUUCGUUGAUGGGGUCAGUCACAAGUUUUUAAUGGGUUCACAUCAAGUAAACAUGCAUCUACAUGCACGUACGGAGCAAAAUCUGUUGGGUUCAGUUGAACCCAAUGCUUGUAUGUUGGCUCCGCCGCUGUUGCCAACUUUGAUGAGAUGGAGUUCAUAUUUCAGAAUAAGCAUGCUACCGGGGAGUUCACGGUCCUUCAAACACCCUAUGACCGUGUUCAUGCUCGUGACAAGGAUUUUAUUGGUGACACCGAGAAGCGUGUGAUUGAUAUUGAGAUUGAUCCUGCAACACAAUAUGAUUCAGAUUGUCUUCCUGAUGACACCAAUAAUGAAAGCUCGUCUUUGAAACGUCCUAGAGGUGGCAAAAGCGAUAAAGGUAAGAGGGUGAAGUGUGAGGAGAGUGUAGUUCAAGACAUGACGCGGUCUCUGCGUGAUAUGUAGGAUACUAUGCGUUUCACACACGUGACCAACCCGAAUGAGAAUUUAUUCAAAAUAAUUGAUGACAUGGAAGAAUACCCUCUCUUCGUCCGACUUGCACUACAGACGUCUUUGGCCACCAAUGAACAAGUGGCGUCCAUGUUGAAAGGGAGGCCGAUGACUGCUAUUCAAGAGUUUGUGCGGCGCUGGGUCGGUGAUAACUUUCAUGAACACGUUCAUGUUGCUCCUAACGUGUGAUUCAUUUUGCUGUAAAUUUUUAGGAUUAUUUUGAAUGUCUUCCAGUGUCGUCUCCUAGGGAAAUAAUGCCCAUGCCUCAUACUUGCAUGUAAUGAUGUCAUUCAGUUUUUCAUUCCUGGAAAAUAAGCUUGUUACUCAAAAAAAUUAUCAGUCAGUGUGUUUGCAAAGUGUGUUAAAUUUAUAAUCAUCAAGUUGCAUCGAAUUUUUGCAUGACUAUUUACAACUUGAUCUUCUUGUAGUCAUUUCUCU
rnacentral:lncRNA from 1 species